UUCAUCGAUUUAUGUAAUUCCUUUUAGAUGAGUUGGAUCCUUAUACUUAAAACUAUCAAUUUAAUUUUAAGACUUCAUAUUAUUUAAAUAGUUUUUUUUAAAUGUUCACAGUAUUGUGAAAACCACGACCAGUACCAAGAAAUAUGGUGUGUCGAUGACCAGGACAUAUUGAAUAAGAAAGGUAAAUUUGCCAAAGAUUAUUCAAAUGGAUUCAUUGGGAGGGAUAUAGAUUUAGUCGAUCGUGAUAAUAAAUGUGGAUGUAAUAAUAAGUACGUAACGUUUUAUAUGUUAUUAGAUGGAUAUAAUAAUGCAAAUGAUCCACUAACUUGCUAAGCAUUCAAUUAGCCUAUUUAGUCUAAUAAAUACUUGAAUUAAUUGUUAUUGCCAAAUGCUGUAAUUAGGCUCAAAAUAUGUACUAUUAAUUAAUAAAUUGUGUCUUCUAUUAAUUAUUUGAUCCUCAUAGAACCAUUUUUUUACUUUGUUGUAAUCUAAACACUAUUAAUCGUAGGUACCUACUUGAAAUUUUUAUUUUUAUUAAAAAUAUACAAUCUGUGUCAGUCACAUAUUCUAGUAGUGGUUGUAACUAGAUUCAGCGAAAAAAUAUUGACUUAUCUGCAAGACCUACUCCGCGAUGGUAACGAUGAUUAGGUAACAAAUAAUAAAUACUUACAUAUUAUCAAAUCUAAAAUAGUUUAAAAAUAUUGUGGCAUUUUAAAGACAAUUGUUGUCAUAUGUUAAUUAUAUUAUUAUAAUAAAGAAAUUAUAUUAUUACUA